AGGUCUGGAGAAAAAACUCGUUGACUUCAGUGAGCCCAGGAGUUCAGCCAUACCUUAUAAAUGCUCUCCAGCCUGCUCCCCGCUGCCGGACUGUGCAGCUCCUUCGACUUCAAGCAGGCUCAGAGGCAUGAGCACCAACUUCCAGUAAUUCUGUCACCUCGAACAAGUUCACCUCUGGAAAUAGCAGCUUUUCCAUUCCGGUUGGAGUGACAGAUGCUCAGAAACUCUGAAAGCUGUGUAUGUUGGUGUGCCACACCCACUCUUAGGACACCCUUCUGGUGGUGGGACCAUCCACAGCCUGAGUCAACUACAGUUGUAGAGGUUGCUGCUUUAAGGCUUUAAUUGCAGUUGCCAUUGCUGACAAACCACGUCCGUCUGCGCCAGUCUUUGAAGUAAACCUGAGCGUGCAUAACCACUUUCCGAGGGUGAAACAAGAUGUACACCAGGAGUGCAGGUAAACUGGGGCUGCCAGAGAAGAUUGCAGUGAUGGUGUGAUUCUGUAAUGGGCAAAGCUGGGAGAUUUCAGGCCCCAUGGAUGCCAGUUGUCACCUCUCACUAACAGUGCACUUGGAAAAUAAGUUGGGAAGAAGAAAGCUGUUGCACCAUUUGUUUUUGAAACUGAAGCAAAAGGAAAAUGUAGACUAUAAUAGUGAAAAACAGCACUUUUUCCUAUGAAGCAGCACAAUGUCUCAAAAAUAUGUAAAUGGUAAGAGUUUCUCUACAUUUUGUUUUAAAUAUUUUCGUGGCAACAUCUUUUGUAAAAAUCAACAGCAGUUAACUAAUCAUCUUUACUUUCACUUUUUCUUGCCCGGAAACACAGACCAAAUCUUUUUAUGAGCUCACCAUUCAGAUACAGCAGUUAUCUGUUAAACAAUGUGGUCACCUGCUCAGGAUUAGAUGCAUAUGGUAACAGUGUGAUUUCAUUGAAGGAAGUCAGCUGCCCUGUUUUAGCAGCAGACUUCUUAGUUGGAUGCUUACAUGGGGCUUUUCAUUAAAUUCAUUAAUCUUCAAUAAUGUCUCUGCAAAGGAGACAGAUAAUCCUUAAUGAAAAGGACUUUUCUUAGGAUCAGUUAGUCUAAAGGUAUUGAGCUUCCAUUAAAAGAAAGUAUCUGUUUUGAAUUACUGUUAUCUCUUGAGAAAGCUGAUUUGAUUUCCUUUUUUUGUUUCCCAAGCUAAACUUCACCUUUGCUUGCUCUUUCCUCCAAAUAUACACAAGAUACUAGUAUAGCUGCUUCUUCUUAUACAGACCUAAUCCCUUCAGCUUGCUAGAAUAUUCACUUUACCAAGAAGGAGUGAAACAAGUAAAUAAAAAGAAACAGAAUGGAAUCGCUUUGGCAUCUAUGCAAAAGCAUGCAUAAGAUGUUGGUAUGCCUUUAAAAUCUGUGCUGGAAUCUAAAUGGAAGCAGUUUAAUGCACUUCAUGUAAUUAUAUUUCUAUCCUGUACCUUUUCAGUUUA